GCUCUGACUGCGGCAACCGUUGAAGGCUGCCCCGGGGGAGGCAGCUAGGCGCCACGGCGCUUGGCAAGUGGCGCAGUGAAUGUUUAUUGGAUUGAAUCAAGUACAGCUUCUUCCAGCCUUCCCUCCUCCCCUCUGUCUCCCUGCGCUCCCAGACUGAUUUGAAGGAGACCCCUGAAGGGUUUGGUUUGUCCACUUGAGGUCCCUUAAACAUCUUUUCAAGAUUAUUCAACGCUAAGAGAAAUGUCAGCAUCAUUUUCCUGAGAUAUGGCAAUCAUACCUGGUAGUGGGAACUUUGCUGUGGAACUCCCAAACCUGGCAAGAAUGCUGCAGAUUUUGGCAGAUGAUGGCUUCAUCCCCUCCCAGCACUGAUGAUAAUAUUAGAGACCUGUACUACAAGAAAUGAUAAUGGAACUUCUUCAAGUGAAAAAGGAAUGAUAUUAGCAGAAAAGUUGGAUCUACUGGAGCAAAUGAAGGACGUCAGAAAUGCAACUUUCAUUGUUAGAGAGAAGAGAGAGAGAGAAGCCUUGUUGGUUGACGUCACUUGGUUCAUGAAGCCUUCGCCUAGAAGUGAAGCUGCUGAACAAACCUUGAGAAGAAUCAUCUCCUGCUUCAAUCUGCUGCUGGAUAGGAACUAAUCAGAGAGAGAGAGGCGGAAGACGGAGAAGGAGGGAGUCAAGGGCUUUCCCGAUCACCAAUCUCACCUCCACUCCAACUCUCUUUAUACUUUUCUUGCAGAAAUUAUAAAAGAAAUAAGGAGGUGGUGGGGAUUCCAAAAACCUUAACCUUCAACCAUCUGGGGAAGGCAAAAAUCCCACCCACCGCAACUCUCAGUUCGAAAGUAAAGGUUACUCAACAGUGAUGUCACAAGAUUGACCACGCUGAUCACAAAACUGGAUCACAUUUCAGGCUUCUUUCUCUUCAUAGUAUCACCAUUUCCCACAUCAAGAUAUGAACUCCUGGCAUCACUUUGGAUUACUGUCUUUCUUCUGGCUCCAGAUAAUCAAAACUUAAAAGUGCCAGUGAUCUGUCUUCAAUAUCUUUUACAACCUUUGUUUUCCUUUCAUUCCCAUUACUAUCCUAUUCAGUUCAUGCUUAGAUAGUUGUAUUAGUUUACUUACUAGUUUCUCUGUAUCCAGUAUCAUGUCUCCUCUUACUCAUUGUGGAUAACAUUGCCACAUUAACAUAUCUGAAAUCAUGAUUUCUUUUUUACUAGUAUGUUUAUGUUAUUCUCCUUUUCUGGAAAAUUCUCACUGCCUUUUCAUGUAUAUGUAUAUCCUUCAAGACCCAACUCAAAUCUUAUUUUCUUCUCAAUACUGGCCUAAAGGGAGUACAGUGUGCAAAAUCUGGAGUCAGGUAGUAUCUGUAAUCAUUUGACAUCUGAACACAUGGUAUCCAAUUAUCAUAAAGUGCUAGAGGAGAAGAAGAAUUUGGAUGUCAUUUAUUCUCAUCCUUACUUUUGAAUAAGUGGUUUCCUGGAGCUAAAAGUAUUUGAAGGGUUCGGGGUAGAAAUGUAAGUAGACUAAGUCUUCUAACCCCUUAAUUCCAGAAUUCUUUCUUGUGUAACCCUUCCUCUCACUGUGAAGUGCCUUGUCUUUUUAGAUGUUUCAUGAGUAAAUUUAUUAUUUCACUAGCUUGAGGCCAAAAAUCUUGUUUUACUCUUUUGUACUUCCCAUAAUAUUUUACACAUCAAUAGGCCUUAAUUCACUCUUUAUUUGUAGAGAAUAAUUACUUUCAGAUAAAAGUAACAUUUUAAAUAAAAUUUUAUUUCCAUUUGUACAGAUAUUAAUGGCCAAGGAUUAUACUGCUUUUUGUUUAAAAGGGAUGGAAGAUAUGUUUUUAAUAGUUCUUGGUUGUUAACAUUGAUU